ensembl:lncRNA
CCGGAACUCAAAAUAUAUAUGUGUGUAUAUGGCCAGUGUGUGAAUAGAAAAACGUCUCAUCUGCUACUGUACACGUUUUAUGUUCUGAUAAAAUCAUAAAACGGUUUUUAUUUAAUGAACGACAGAACAAAGUAUUGUUUAUACAAUAUACACCUGGGGGACACACACACACACGAGAUGAACGCAAACAAAAACAGACCAUAAUUUGGUUCAAAGCAAAAAUACCACCAACCAUAAUUAAAACACACUUAUUUAAAUUUUAAAAUAUCAAAAACAGUAGCCUAUUUUAGUUCCUGGUACAGUCAGACCACCAGUAGUCUGACUAUCAUCUGUCUUACAUUCUGCUCCACCCUUUCAUUUUAAAAAGGAAACCUCUCAAACAAAUGACAUGGCACUAUUACCAGGAACACCAUCUUGGUUGAAACUUGACAUCCUUCAGAAUCCAUUUGAUAGAUUGUUUUUUUUCUCUCCCCCCCCAGUAUAAACUAGUCAGAUUAGUGAUUACAUCAAGGAUGGGGGAGAUUCUGUAAAUUAGCGGUGGUUUUUACUCAUCAAAAAGGCUUCAGAGAGAUUCAGUCCAGCUCUUUUCCAUCAAGUCAGUUAUAAAAGGAAAGGAGACGAGCCAUUUUAAAAAUGUCCAUGGUGGGAUCAGACCACCUGCUUAUUAACAGGGGGGUUGAGUGUGGUGGGAUCAGACCACCUGCUUAUAACAGGGGGGGGUUGAGUGGUGGGAUCAGACCACCUGCUUAUAACAGGGGGGGGAUCAG